GUUCUGAAGCGAAUUUGGAAAUC
rnacentral:snRNA from 1 species